GCGGGCACGGGGAUGCUUAGUACGGCGAGUGAAGCGGCAAAAGCUCAAAUUUGAAAUCUGGUACCUUCGGUGCCCGAGUUGUAAUUUGGAGAGGGCAACUUUGGGGCCGUUCCUUGUCUAUGUUCCUUGGAACAGGACGUCAUAGAGGGUGAGAAUCCCGUGUGGCGAGGAGUGCGGUUCUUUGUAAAGUGCCUUCGAAGAGUCGAGUUGUUUGGGAAUGCAGCUCUAAGUGGGUGGUAAAUUCCAUCUAAAGCUAAAUAUUGGCGAGAGACCGAUAGCGAACAAGUACAGUGAUGGAAAGAUGAAAAGAACUUUGAAAAGAGAGUGAAAAAGUACGUGAAAUUGUUGAAAGGGAAGGGCAUUUGAUCAGACAUGGUGUUUUGUGCCCUCUGCUCCUUGUGGGUAGGGGAAUCUCGCAUUUCACUGGGCCAGCAUCAGUUUUGGUGGCAGGAUAAAUCCAUAGGAAUGUAGCUUGCCUCGGUAAGUAUUAUAGCCUGUGGGAAUACUGCCAGCUGGGACUGAGGACUGCGACGUAAGUCAAGGAUGCUGGCAUAAUGGUUAUAUGCCGCCCGUCUGA
rnacentral:rRNA from 1 species